rnacentral:rRNA from 1 species
UACGUAGGGUGCAAGCGUUGUCCGGAAUUAUUGGGCGUAAAGAGCUCGUAGGCGGUUUGUUGCGUCGGCUGUGAAAUCCCGAGGCUCAACCUCGGGUCUGCAGUCGAUACGAGCAAACUAGAGUGUUGCAGGGGAGACUGGAAUUCCUGGUGUAGCGGUGAAAUGCGCAGAUAUCAGGAGGAACACCGGUGGCGAAGGCGGGUCUCUGGGCAACAACUGACGCUGAGGAGCGAAAGCGUGGGGGAGCGAACAG